AAAGGUAACAUGGAGAAGACUGGAGAGGAGCUAUGAGAGUACAACAAUGAAAAGGAAGACCUAGAUGAGACCCUGUGGCAGACACUGUAGGUCCUGAUGAAGAUGUUUCCAGAGAUGGUUCAGUUGCACAGUCCAUGCCACUUACAAUCUCCUCCUCUUUGUGACUCAGAAAAUGUACAGGUUUUCCAGGGCAGCUGUGUCUAUUGAGACCACCUCCUUUAUGUUACUCGUUCUUGCUUUCAUCUUUGAGACUGAGAAGUUGCAAGUGGAGCAAAAGCAGCAAUGAUAGAAGCAAAAGACACUUCUCUAGGC
rnacentral:lncRNA from 1 species